rnacentral:lncRNA from 1 species
CAGACUUCUUUCCGGCAAUCAAUUCACAGGAGUGCUUCCAGAUUCAUUGGGUGAUCUGACAAAUUUAGAAGACUUGUGAGUAUUGUAGAUGAUACAGUGAUCUAUUUGCACAAAAUAGUUUCAGUUAUAAUCAAUUGAUUUCUAUUUUAAAACUAAAACAAGACAUUGCCUAACCCUCUAUUUUUUCAUGUUUCCAGUAGAAUUGAUGGGAAUCCUAUUUCUGGUAGAAUCCCCAGUUUUUUUGCAAACUGGACAAAAAUGGAAAGACUGUGAGUGUCACUAUGCUAUAUUAUAACGAGAUCAUGACCGUUCGAUAAGAACUGAAUGGUCAAAUGAACAAAAUUGUAUAUUAAAUACUUACAGUUAGGAUUCAAGAAAUGAAAUUGCGAGUUCAAAAUCUUGACUAUAUGUAAAUUUCCAGUACUUUCGAAUACACCAAAUAUCUACAUUAUAACUUUCAAGCUAAUUUCCUAUUAAUUUGUUUAUGAUUCCUCGCUGUAAUUUUUUUUACAUCUUUAAUUUGUAUUUAACCAUAAACAUUUUAAAUUUUUUACAGUGACAUGCAAGGAACAUCUUUGCAGGGUCCAUUCCCACCUGGGUUUUCGUCCUUAACUAAUCUAAGUGAACUGUGAGAAUUUCUCUAGGCUCUAUUACAGUGCUAUUCAUAUCAAUUUUAUGUUAUGAAAUAUUCGAUAUAUCAAUUUAUUUGCAGGAGGGUGACCGAUAUUAAUAUCAGCGGGACAUUUCCUCCUUUGGAGACUAUGGAAUCAUUUAAAUAUCUGUGAGCAUGAAAUUUUACUUGCUUAAAAGUUAAAAUUCCUUUAGAAAUUGACAAGCAAAUUUAAUAUAAUGUCUUACUAAUUAAAUUUCAGGAUAUUAAGAAAUUGUCAAUUAUAUGGUUCAAUUCCUUCCUUCAUUGGAAAUAUGAAAAAACUAAAACGCCUGUAAUUCUCUCUCUCUUUUUAUUAUACCUCUUUCUCAUUUAAUUUUCAUUUAUAUAUUAAUCUAUGAUAAAUUUCAAAUCUUUAUUAAUAAACAAUACAUAUUUUUAUUAAUGACAACAGUUUGAUUUUCUGAUUUUAUUCAGAGUAGUUUUCCUUUUAUAAAUUAUGGAAAGCAUACGAUUUGUUUCAGCAGUGCUAUUUUUGAAGUUUCAUUAGUGAAAUAAUUAAUUACUUUUUUUCCUAGCGAUCUAAGCUUCAACAAUUUCACUGGACUUAUACCAAAAAGCUGGGAAAAUUUAGAACUUGAUUAUUUGUAAGCAAACAAUAUGUUACUGCGAAAGAAAAAAUUAUAUUUUUUAAUACAUUUGUUUUUGCUGUCAAAAUAGACUAUAUAAUUUUGUUCUAUGCAGGUUUCUUACAAAUAACAUGCUCAGUGGAUCAAUACCAGACUGGAUCUUGUCAAACAAACAUAAGAUGUUUGUAUUUGACAGUCAUUUUUCUGUUUGCUUCGAUUGAUAAAUAUAUUAACUUACAGAAUGUGUACAUAUGUUUUCCAGGGAUAUAUCCUUCAAUUCUUUUAACGGAUCUGCUAACAAUAUUUGCCCAUCAUCAAAUGUGUAGGGAACUUUUUUUCUCAGUUCAUUUCAGUUGAUUUUUUUUAUACAAAAUGAGAUAUUUUUAAUUUUUGUUUCCACGAUUAUGGAAUUUCCCAACAUUUUGUAUCAGGAGUUUAGUUGCCAGUUAUUCACCAUCGGUAAAAAACUUGUAAGUUGUGAUAAAUAUCUAUUUCUUUUUUCCAAACAUGGAUUUGUAUUCCGCAAUGAAUAAAAUAAAAUUCUAACCAUUUAUUAUAGGACAUCUUCAUGUCUAUCGAAGAAUCUCACAUGCACUGAAAAAGCCAUGAGUAAGAAUUCACGUUCAUCUUUUAAUUUAGAUUUAAAAUGAUCUGACUAAAUAAAGUAAAUCCUUCCUUUAAUAUCCACAGACUAUGAGUUGUACAUUAAUUGCGGUGGUCAAAACGUAACUGUCGAUGGGAAAGUAUACCAAUCUGAUAAAGCGGCAAUAGCUACUACUUCAUUUUAUAAUUAUGGAAAGUGGGCUAUAAGUAGCACUGGAUAUUUUGUGGGUGAUUCGGAUGCUCAGUACAUAGCAGAAAUAAAUGAAUCUUUAUUAUUAAACACUGCAAAUUCUCAACUGUACAAGUCAGCUCGUCUUAAUCCACUCUCCCUUAGGUAUUAUGCUCUGUGCAUGCAAACUGGAAAUUACACAGUCAACCUUCAUUUUGCUGAAAUAAUGUUCUCUGAAUUUGGCUUUUCUAGAAAUGGAAGGCGUAUAUUUGAUGUCUCCAUCCAAGUAAAAUGAUGCAUCUGAUGUUUUUUUUUGUAUCGAAGGAUGUCUGAUUACCAUAAAUCUUAAUUACCAUAAAUUUUUCUCUUUGAUUCUAUUCAGGGUAAAAAGGUUUUGGAGAACUUUGAUAUCACCAAAAAAGCAGGGGGUGUAAGAAGAGGGGUAGUUCUGUCAUUCACGACACUUGUUGAAAAUACUCUAGAAAUCCAUUUUCAAUGGCUUGGAAAAGGAACAAUGUCAAUCCCGACCAGAGGUGGUUAUGGGCCACUAAUAUCUGCUAUUUCUAUCACACCAAGUAAGUUCUUACUCAUUUAAAAAUGAUGUCAUGAUGAUUUUGGAUAAUUUGAUGGAUUGAUAGAUACAAAUAUAUGUAGACUUCACACCCAAAAAGGAAGAUUCAGGUGGUGGCCUAUUAAAUGCUGCAGUUCCUGCUAUUCUUGUUUCUACAUGCAUAUUUCUUAUAAUGAUCUUUGUUGUCUUAUUCAUUUCGCGGAGGAAGAAUCAUGUCAAAAGUGAAGGUAUGUUAAACACAGUAUUAUUUAUAUUUUGUCUGACUAUUCGCUCUACAAUCUAAACAUUUAUCCACUAUGCUUUUUUCUGAAACAAAAGCUUUCCAAAAAUGCGAAUCCACAGUAGGUCUGAUUUGUAUAUCAUUAAACGCCUUUCCUUUAAUAUACCUAUCUUGGAUUCAUUUUACCAGAAUAGAAUCGCUCUUAUCCCAGUACUUUGAAGCUCUUUUAAUAUUGGUUGCAGUGGUGAUAAUAGGAAGGUCUCUAACCCCUAGACCCCCUUCCGAUUUGGGAAGGAUCAUUUGGGCCCACGAGAUCCCUUUCCUUCCAUCCCAUAUAAAUCUAUAAGCUAACCUUCUCACCUUCUUAGCCACAGAAUCAGGGAUAGCCAUACCUUGCGCCCAAUAAGUAUACUUUCCAGCUAUUAUCCAGUUAACUAAUUGUAUUAUCUAGUUAUCUCGAUUAUGUGGAGAUCUGGUAGUCCGAUAAAUAAAUUGGGGGGAAUAGUGGAAAGUAUUAGAGAUAGAAAGCAUAAAGACAUGUUAGCUGAGGGAAUUUGGUCGAAGAUGUCGACAAAAUUCUCUAUUCUCUUGUGGAGGGUGAAAUGGGAUCAUCUAAACACGUUCAGGAAAUUAAGAAAUUGGAGAGUACAAGUACCUCCUGCUUGCUUACUGUGUAAUCUGGAAGAUGAAACUAGGAGUCAUCUUUUCUUUAACUGUUUUUAUUCCAGAUCUCUCUUAAUUUCGUUGGCGGAACAGCUGGAUUUCGCUUUCUGGAAAAUAUGAAUAUUCCAGUUCCUACCCAAUCAAGUCCAGAUAUUAGAUUGGGGGAUCUGACGGAAGCAGCACAAAAGAUUACGCGCCACUCCCCCCCUUGGGGGUUAAUAUGGAAUGCUAUUGGGUGCUUGUCGUGACAUAUAUGGACGGAAAGAAAUAAAAGGUAUAGGCAGCACAUUAGUAGGCCUCCUGAGGUAGUCCUUAAAGAGGUCAUUAAAGACAUCAGUCUCUCCUUUGAUUCAGUGUAUUACAAGAAGAGCUGUUGUCACCCUUUAGAGACAUCUAUGAUGGAAGUAUGGGAGACCAACCUUCUGAGGCAGCGUAUCUAGUUACUGUAUAACUAGACUACAUAGCUAAUGGGAGAGAGUCAAUGAGCAUUUUGCUCAUUUCUUUUUAUUUCUAUUUUUAUUUCUAUUCUCUAUUUUGUAAACUUGGCAUUAGCCUUAUUCUAAUGAAAUUUAAUUGCUUCAAAAAAAAAAAAAAUUUUGUCUGACAUAUUUUAAUUUUAUAAUUAAAUUUUUUUCUUUGUUCUUAUUUUAUAACUUCAUACUAUCUUUAUCAGAACUAAAAUCUUUGGAAUCGAUGACCGGCUAUUUCAGUUUACGACAGAUCAAAACUGCAACUAAAAACUUUGCUCCUGAAAAUAAAAUAGGUGAAGGUGGCUUUGGCUCAGUUUAUAAGGUGAGAAAGACAAAUAAAUUAGCUUUGGCCCAAAUAUCUUGCUAUUAUUUUUUCACCAUUGGUUUGAAAAAGUUCACCAUUGAUCUCAGGGUAGACUUAAUGAUGGAACUUUAAUAGCUGUGAAACAGCUUUCAUCAAAAUCAAGGCAAGGAAAUCGUGAAUUUAUAAACGAGGUUGGGAUGAUCUCAGCUUUUCAGCAUCCAAAUCUUGUUAAGCUAUUUGGAUGUUGUGUCGAAGGAAAUCAAUUAUUGGUAAUAUACGAAUACAUGGAAAAUAACAGUCUGGCCCGAGCCUUAUUUGGUAGGCUACUAUUUUUAUAAAUAUUGAAUUAUCUACUAUUCUAGUUGAAAAGUGAUAAAAACUAUCAUUCUAUCGACAGCAUCCAAUUUUGGUUUUAUUAUUUUAAUAUCUACAGGUCCGGAAGAAGUUAAUCUGAACCUGGAUUGGCCAACCAGGAGUAAAAUCUGUAUGGACAUAGCAAAAGGUUUAACACAUCUUCACGAAGAAUCAAUGAUCAAAAUUGUUCACAGGGACAUCAAGGCCACAAAUGUUUUACUUGACAGUGAUCUUAAUGCAAAGAUUUCUGAUUUUGGUUUGGCCAAGCUUGAUGAAGGAGAGGACACUCAUAUAAGUACACGGAUAGCUGGAACUAUGUAAGUACUGUAUAUUUUUUGUUGUUUCAGAAGCAUGUUGUAAAAGUUAGAUCAUGUUUGUUAUUUUACCACAACAGAGGAUAUAUGGCUCCAGAGUAUGCAAUGAGGGGUUAUUUGACCGAUAAAGCUGAUGUUUACAGCUUUGGAAUUGUUGUACUGGAGCUUGUUAGUGGAAAGAGCAACACUAAUUUCAGACCAAAGGAGGAUUCUGUGUAUCUUCUUGACAUUGUGAGCAUUAAAAAUUAUUUAUCAUAUAAAUAGUUAAUUUUUAAAAUUAAAUACAUUUUUCAUGUUCAUUGUCCUUGUUUAGUUUAGAUUGAUUAAAAUAUUGAGCUUUUUUCUUCCUUUAAUCGUCAAUUUUAAAUAUUGUGCAAUUUUGAACUAAGAUCUUUCAUGGAUUACAUUUUCCUAAAAAUUUAAUGAAAAACAACAUAAUAGAGAAAAUUUUAUUUGUUGAUCUACGAUUUCUAUUUCAACCCACAAUGUUGAAAGAAAACUUUUCUGUUGAUCCGAAUUAGAACAUUAAAUGUUUAAUCAUAGCUAGUCCAUUUUUGACAUAUUUAAUAAAAAAUUAUUUGAUUAUUUAGCUGAAUAUUAUAAUUCAGUUUAUAUCUUUAAUACAUAAUCAAUAUUUUUUUUAAAAUCUAUCUAUAAAAAUGCAGGCCUACGUCCUUCAAGAACAGGGGAAAAUUCUGGAACUUGUUGAUUCAUGCUUGGGACGUAAUUACUCAAAAAAAAAAGUAAAUCGGAUGUUAAAUAUUGCUCUUUUAUGCACACAUCGAUCCCCUUCUCUAAGACCAAAAAUGAGCACGGUUAUUAGCAUGCUUGAAGGUAAAACACCAGUCUCAGUCGAACCUAUCAAGAUUAAAAGAACUGAAAGUGAGGUUUCGAGGUUCAAAGCGUUUGAACGUCUCUCUCCAGAUAGCCACACAUUUGGUGUUUCAACAGAUGCAUCAUGGACCAAUUCUACAAUGUCUGCAUCUAUUCGCGAAGAUGAAACUGUGACUACUUUUAAUUCCUCGACUCCAUUGAUCGAUUUAGAGUGAGAAUUUUUCAGCAUAUACAUAAUUCAUAUUUCUAGCGAGUUUGUUAAUUAAGAUUUGUGCCGCACUAAAGUGAUGUUGUGAAAAUUUGGAUAUUUUGUGUCAAUACUAUUUGUUUGUAUUGUGCAUUCACAAGCAGAACUGAAAAACAGAACAGAUGUAUGUGAGAAUGAAGUUAUGGUAAUUUAAUCCAAUUCAUAAAGCUCUUUAUUAUAUGUUGAGAAUUUUGUUUUUACCGAUUUUUUUCUACAUUUUAAAACCUGGUCAGUGUCUUAGUUUUUACUCCCUUAAAAUUUUUCGUCUAACCAGUUUUUUUCCUUUUUCUCACUUUCCAAAGCUAAAAAUCAUUUUCUCAUUUCUCAUGUGUUCUUUCACAUCAGCAUUAAUGUUAUUUAAGAUUUUAUUCUUUAAUUAGUCUCAACUAAUUUCUUUCCAUGUUACUACUUCUAAUUUCUUUCCAUGUUAUUAUUGAGUAUUUCUUUUCAUGGCCAAGACUACUUUGAUGCAGAAAUUGCAGAUAACUGUUACAGUCUUACAGACUCCUUGAGAUUUCAUCAUUUCAAAGAUGGAAUUUAUUCAUACGAGGAUGACAUAAUGCACAUUUCUUGUCUUUUUUUCUUUUGAUAAAUGGUAUAUCCCUUUUUUGCCUCAAUACAUCGUCAUCGUCAUCAUAAGGUUAAUUCUCAAUAGAGUUUAUUUUUGUAGGUGUAUUUCUUAUUGUUCAGACGAUGGAUUGUGUGGAGUAUCUCCAUAACUCCAUUUAUUUCUUUUUUUAAGAGAAUGAAUGGGGAAGUGUAAAAUUUUCUUUAGUUUUGUCUAAAGUUAAGGAAUUUUUAUUAAUGUGUGAAUAACAUUAAGCUCUAUUAGUCAAACCAACUUUUAAUUAGUCAGAAAUAUUCCAUUUUCUGUAACGAACUCCAUGAUCUUAAUCAGGCUUGCUAUAUAUUGGGUAGAACAUCCAUAAUACAAAUCAUGGUUUCAUACCAACUCUCUUUCAUUCACUCUAGAUCUCCACUAUGAUGUGUUCUGAGAACUGAGAAGUCGAUCACAAUUCACAAUUGUGGAUGCAUCCAUGUUUGAUUCGGAUAACUCAAGGUUCCUAGGCGAUGGAUGUGACCACUGGAACCACCAAAUUGGUAACGAUGAAAUGAAACACCUGAAGACUUUUUUACUCGACAAGAGUAAGUAUCAGACAUGGAAGGCACAAUUUGGUGCCAUAAUGCACGGAUGCAUGACCCAGGGAACCACUUUGACUAUUUUUGUGAUAAAGAAGAGAUCUCUCAAUGGUCACCAAUGCGGUAGCAUGGUGAGCAUAUAUAAAUGGGAAAUUGAAUACUAGGAGCAUCGGAUUGGAUAAAAAACAGGUACAUCAGAAAAGAUAAAUUGCUGACAUCCUCUCUAACCAAGCUAAUGAUGGUUCAUCUAUGUCGAAAGAGCUUCUGUUCACCAAGAAAAAUAUUUAAGUUUGUCUGAAUUGUGGAGGGUGACUACAUAUUAAUAUGAAGGGAGAAGAGGAGGUAAUGGCCCAACAAUUGGCAUCAUCAUUGAAAAUUUGAAAGAAUCAGAACAAGAGGGUACAAAGAUGAUCUAGCAGAAAUAAUUUGGUCUCACAUGUUUACUAAAUUCUCCACCAUCUUUUUAUGUGGAAUAUAUUAAUGAUAAUAAAUAAAUCAUUAAUAUAAUUUCCUACUUAUAUAAAAUAUGGGCUAAUUCACGUUAUUAGACCCACAGUAAAAAAUCUAUUGGAUAGAUAUGGUUAUCUAUUUUACAGAACUUAUCUCAAUUGUAAUAGAUAUAUAAGGAACAUACAUCAAUGAGAAUGAGUACUCUGUUUUCAUAUAAUUCUCAGGAAUUGAUAUGGUAUCAGAGUUGAGAAAUCAGAAAUCGUUCAUACGAUAUUCUGAUCUGAGCAUCCUCUGUUUCUACUUCUUAUUUCUCUUUAAUUCCUCUUUAAUGAAAUUUAAUUACUUUAAAAAAAAAAAAAGUGUUGAAUUCGUUUUUUUGAUAAUUUUGACGUAAUAUUCUAAAAAAAUAAUUGAUUUUGACUAUCAAGUUUCACCAAGGCUGUUAGGGUGAAAUUCUGGACUCUUCACUGAUACUUAUAGUUCCAUCUCAGAUUUUUAGAACCUCAAUUUCUAAUGCUCAAGGUGACAAAGGUGCAUUUCCCUCCUCAUUGCUAUGGCAGUUUCAAUUGAUUCAUUUUUUAACGUAAUUGUGUUUGAAUAGAUAAUGUAUGGUUUUUAUCUUUUACUUAAGGUCAUCUUCUCCAACUCUGUUGAUUUCAUAAAUCAUUUUUCAUUGAUUAACUAUUUUGUAACACAGAAGCAAAUAAAAAAAUCACCUCUAUGACAAUCGUAUGUUGGUUCUUCCCUUGUGCAGAUGAGAUGUGCUUCUUUUCAAACAUCUUUCCCCUUGUGCUACCACUUUGUAACGUUUUGCCAACGUUGGAGGCGUAGGAAGAGAAGAAAUCUCCCGUAGGAGCUGGAGUCGGAGGUUGGAGCCGUAGGCGUUGACAGAUACCAUGUUACUUUCUGGAGGAGGUGCAGUCCUGGAGGCGCCGUCGGAGCUUCUGGAGCCUUCUAGCGACGAUCGCCGGAGAAUUCGCGACUAGGUUUUUCCGCCCACGAGAAAGGGGGAAAAACGGAUAAAACUGUCGCUGGAGAGAGAAGAAAGGGGAAGAAUGAUUUUGGGGGGAAAUAUGAAAAAUGUUAAUCUUUU